AGUCUUCACUGACAACAGUAGAGUGCGCAAACCACUAGCCUAAACAUGUCGUACCUGACCUACGGAGAGCAGACUAACAGAAAUAAACUGACUCAUCACAACAUGAGCGGAGAUGAACUUGUUUUCAAAGAUAACAGAGAAACAUGCUGAUCCAGAGAUGACACUGCUGACAUACCUCAGGAGAAAGUGUAUCCUGAAACCUCUCACACACAGCCCCGGGAGGGAACCUGUGUCGCUGUACUGGUUACGGACCAAUUCUGGAGGGGUACAAGACGUUCACCAAAGUAAGACCACACAACCACACCCUGAGUGUCACGCAGCCUCCUGAGGAUGAGUAAGGAUCAUCGCCUUCCUCCUGCUUUCACUUCCAGUAUUUAUUCUCCAUUCUGUGGUGUGUGUGUGUGUGUGUGUGUGUGUGU